AUCCUCGAUGCUGUUGUCUUUUGGCCGGCCGCAGUAACAAACGUCUCUUCAACUUGUGAUUUACUUGAGCAUGUACAAUUAGUCGAGGAAUUUAGCUAUAUCAAAUUCGAUUUUUUCUUAGAAAAAAAAAUUCGUUGGAACUUGAGAAGGAGAUAUUAUAUUCAUCAAACGUAACUGCGAGAAAUUCAGUCAAGACAACACAUGAGAAAAUGGGCUUCAAACUAAACUUGUUAUUCAUAUUUGAUGUCUUCAGCCUGUUAAGCAUGUGGUACUUAUGUCCUUCAAUAGCAGAUUCGUCUCAUCAUUCACCUGUGUGGCCUAAAAAUUGUGUUCAUCUGUAUGACCGUGGUCCUUGCUUCUCGGAGGACAUGAGAAUUAAUGGAACUUUUCAGUGGAGAUAUUGGUUUGAUUCGUAUGAGACGUUGGAUUGUAAGCGUUUUGAGUACGGUGGUUGCGGAGGAAAUGGAAAUAAUUAUGUAACUUCACAAGAAUGCUAUGAAAAAUGCUAUGAUAUCUACUCUGUACGUCAGUAUCAAGAUGUCUUGAAAGAAAGACAAAAUUCUAACAUUCGAAGAGGAAAUUACAACCGUCGAAGGAGAAUUACAGAUCUUUAAAACAUAAAAUUUUUGAGGAUGUCCCAUAUAUUGAUAUAUAUUUGUAAUAGUUUGAUAUUGAGUUUCAAUAGAAGUACAAAAUGAAAGACUCUGCGAAGUCUUUAUAAAAUACUUAUAAAAGAGUUUUAUUUUUACAAUUAUUGACUGUAUUAAAAUGAAAUAUACGGAUAUGUAUAUAAAAUAUGUAGGAAUAUAUAUGUAAAUAAAGAAAAGUA